GAUUAACGCUAGCGGCAGGCAUAAUACAUGCAAGUUGAACGGCAGCACAGGUAGCAAUACUGGGUGGCGAGUGGCGCACGGGUGCGUAACACGUAUGCAACCUACCCUAUACAGGCGAAUAACCUUUAGAAAUGAGGGCUAAUACGCCGUAGUAUUACAGGUGGGCAUCUAUUUGUAAUUAAAGAUUUAUCGGUAUAGGAUGGGCAUGCGUCCCAUUAGUUAGUUGGUAAGGUAACGGCUUACCAAGACGAUGAUGGGUAGGGGAUCUGAGAGGACUUACCCCCACACUGGUACUGAGACACGGACCAGACUCCUACGGGAGGCAGCAGUAAGGAAUAUUGGGCAAUGGCCGCGAGGCUGACCCAGCCAUGCCGCGUGCAGGAAGACGGCCUUAUGGGUUGUAAACUGCUUUUAUACGGGAAUAAUAGAGUGUACGCGUACAUUUAUGCAAGUAUCGUAUGAAUAAGCAUCGGCUAACUCCGUG
rnacentral:rRNA from 1 species